CCAAUGUGUAAUUACACCGUUUAGGCUAUAGAUGGCGCUUCUACGCCCACUGUGGCUCAAUUAGAUGCUAUGCGCAUGCGCAGCUCAUUAAUUAACCUGACGUUUGCUUGAACAUGAGGAAUACUUUCUUCUCUGAGUCACAGCCUCAGAGAACCGCUUCAUGACUUGAUCACCAGUAUUGAGACUUGUCGGUUGGGGACAUACACUCACUAGGGAUGUUGACCAAGUCCACUGAUGACUGAAGACAUUUACCAAUCACUGCUAGUUCUAGAUCUUUGCGCUGUGGUUCCUCCCUGUCCGGAGUGCACGUAUAUUCGUCUAGGGCGAGAGGGAUAUAUUUUUCCACAACCUCUUGACCCUGAUUCAUCAGGAGGGAGACCCACGCCGGAGACGACAAUGCUC